rnacentral:lncRNA from 1 species
CAAGGCUGGCACAGAUACCUGUGCACAGAGAAGGCUUAGAAGAGCCCAGAGGCAUUUCCCUGAUGCCCACUUUGAAGCACCUACACCUCAGAGGUCAGGGGUAAUAGUCACACUUUCUUCUUCAUGCCUUGGUUAUCCAAGUCUCCACGCAGAGCUUUAGAUGUCAUGAAUGCUGAAUUUGUCUGCGAUCAACAUACCACAACACCAAUCAGUCCUGUGG